rnacentral:rRNA from 1 species
GAUGAACGCUAGCGGCAGGCUUAAUACAUGCAAGUCGAGGGGCAGCAUGGUGUAGCAAUACACUGAUGGCGACCGGCAAACGGGUGCGGAACACGUACGCAACCUUCCCAAUAAGUGGGGAAUAGCCCAGAGAAAUUUGGAUUAAUACCCCGUAACAUAACGAUGUGGCAUCACAUUGUUAUUAUAGAUUUUUCGCUUAUUGAUGGGUGUGCGGCUGAUUAGAUAGUUGGCGGGGUAACGGCCAACCAAGUCUACGAUCAGUAGCUGAUGUGAGAGCAUGAUCAGCCACACGGGCACUGAGACACGGGCCCGACUCCUACGGGAGGCAGCAGUAAGGAAUAUUGGACAAUGGACGCAAGUCUGAUCCAGCCAUGCCGCGUGAAGGAUUAAGGUCCUCUGGAUUGUAAACUUCUUUUAUAAGGGACGAAAAAAGGCUUUUCUAAGUCGUCUGACGGUACCUUAUGAAUAAGCACCGGCUAACUCCGUGCCAGCAGCCGCGGUAACAC